rnacentral:lncRNA from 1 species
CAACCAUUCAUUAACCCUGGGCACAGAGUGACAUUUGCAGUUUUUAUGACAAGGUUUUCUCAACUUAAAGUAUAAGCUCAGGGGGAAAUAUUUUUGACGUAACCCUGAAGGUAUGCAGUCUUCCCUGCAAUGAGUCCUGUAUUGAGACUGUAAGAAGAAUGUGGUGGCGAAGAUAUGAGGUCUUUUUAUCUAUUGUUCUGUUGUGCUGCUGGGGACAGAACCUGGCCGCGCACUUCUGCAGGAGGAGCACAUGCCUGAGCACCGAGAAUACCACCAGCUGCUUUUUUUUUUUUUAAAUGAAAUAAUUUACUAAAAAUCUUUGUAGUUGCUGUUUGUUUCUGGUC